rnacentral:rRNA from 1 species
UACGGUAGGGUGCAAGCGUUGUCCGGAAUUAUUGGGCGUAAAGAGCUCGUAGGCGGUUUGUCGCGUCGGGGAGUGAAAACUCAGGGCUUAACCCUGAGCCUGCUUCCGAUACGGGCAGACUAGAGGUAUGCAGGGGAGAACGGAAUUCCUGGUGUAGCGGUGAAAUGCGCAGAUAUCAGGAGGAACACCGGUGGCGAAGGCGGUUCUCUGGGCAUUACCUGACGCUGAGGAGCGAAAGUGUGGGGAGCGAACAGG